UAAAGGGAGGGGGGCGGGGAGCGGGAGCUGGCCUCAGAGAAGUGCUGGCUGCGGCGGUUUCUGGUUGCCAUCACAGAGGCAAACAAAGCCCAGGCCGCGCGGGGUGGCCCCGCCCAGCGCCAAGCUCCGGCCACCGUUUCCCACACCUCGCCGGUGGACCCGUCGAUGUUUUCCUCCGCAGAUUGCGUUCUGGGGAGCAGGUGGGAGGGCUGCCCGGCUCUGGGGACUUUUCUGCGGCUCUGUAGUGCCAUCCUACAGGAGCACAGCCUCUGGGGCCAGAGGAACCUCUGCUCCCCAUUAUCAGCUCAGAAGAAACUUUGUAUGAACCAAACAACUGCGGCCUGGAUCCAGCCCAGUGGCUGUGAGGGUGACUGCUGCUAGACAACUUUGUAAACUGUCUCAAGGUAAAGGUGACUUAUGUGCCUCUGGGCGCCUAGGUCUUUGCCCAGGGAUGUGAGCAGCGAGUAUUACUUACAAACUUCUUCAGAAUAAAAGAGUGAUGUCAUUUA